CAGCCGCCGCGGUAAUACGAAGGGGGCUAGCGUUGCUCGGAAUUACUGGGCGUAAAGGGCGCGUAGGCGGACAGUUAAGUUGGGGGCGAAAGCCCGGGGCUCAACCUCGGAAUUGCCUUCAAUACUGGCUGUCUUGAGUAUGAGAGAGGUGUGUGGAACUCCGAGUGUAGAGGUGAAAUUCGUAGAUAUUCGGAAGAACACCAGUGGCGAAGGCGACACACUGGCUCAUUACUGACGUUGAGGCGCGAAAGCGUGGGGAGCAAACAGGAUUAGAUACCCCAGUAGUCCCUGUCUCUUAUAA
rnacentral:rRNA from 1 species